UCCCUUUCCUAACUAAUCCUGUCACUGUAAAAUCCUACGGUCAUUCUUCAACACAUAAAGGGAAAACGGACUCACUAGGAGGACCUAGACUGUUUCAGCUUGAACUGUUAACCAAUGGUGGAAAUGCAAGAAUGCUGAAGUUGUGCCUUCGGAGCCAAUAGAGUGGAUUUGUGUGUCCCACAUGACUGUGUUUCCCCUGUCUUUCACAUGGGCAGUAUUUAGUUCAAUUCAGAACUGCAGAUAGUAUAGCAUGCAGAGCAGCAAUGGGAUGUCUGAGCACAAGUGGCUGACUUCCAGGCGACUUCAGGAAGCACAUUUGUACAUUUCUCCUGAAUUAAACUGGGAUUCUGCACCCUUGACAUCCUCUGACCCUCCUUCUCUCUGCAGAAGGAGGCAACGACCUGCACAGCACAACAAAACUACAAAUCACCACAGUGUUGCAGACCAGCAAAUGAAGUGAACUGAGGGCAAUUUGACCAACAUCACCUGUGUCGGUUCCCCAGAAGUCGAUGAAACAUGUUAUCAGGUCUCCGAGUACUAGAUUUUGGGAGAACCUGCGUUAUGUGAAUGCACAGAAUCAGUAGAAAGCCAUUUUGAUGAUCACAGAUUUAUAAGACUGCUUCAAAUAGGAGGAGGGGAAGAAAUAAAACACUACAAAACCAAAAACUGCUUUCCUCAAGGAAUGGUAACUUUGGACAAGAUUUGGCACCACAAGUUCAAAGGGCUAUUUUACCUGCAUUAUGAGCAUCCAGGUGCCAGCUGGUGUAAAUGCAGAUGCCACUGAUGUCAAUGGAGCUGUGUCAGUUUACACUAGCUGAGAAUCUGAUCCCAAGUGUGUUAGUACCAUUUUUAGACACUGCCACUGGAAUUCACUUUUGCAACACAAUUAAAAAUACAUCCAUGCAUUGCAUUUCUUCCUGUCCCCAAGUGUAUAACUGGAAGCCUGUUAGACUGUGGGAGAGGGCAAGAGGGAUGUGGAAGUGUAGUCAACAACUGUAUCCCUAAUAUAACUUUGCAAUAUGAGUAUUAACACUUUUGUUCUGCUGUCUUCCUUUUAUACAAAUGAAUAUAUGCUUUCAAAAGUCUUAACUCCACCUUCCAGUAACAACUGAAUGCCAGCAAAAGAAAAAAAGAUGCUGUAAGCCAUGCAGAAUAUCUAUCAUAUAAAUGUUAACUCACUAUUUUAAUCGGUGUACAAUCUGAAUAAACUGUUUUAAUGCAUCAUUAGGGAAAUUAUCUAACAUCAUAAGAAACCCCCAAAACCUGAGGUCUGUGUAUUCACCAAGUAUUUGUCCUAAGCAAUCUCACUGCUGUGCAAGCAGUUUAUCAUUAAAAGUACUAAACCAGCUGCUUCAAGUAGCCUGCAAGCCAGACCUAUCUGACAUCUACCAUUUAUAUUUCAUCAAACAUUUAUGUGGGGGAAGAAGAAGGAAGAAUGGAAGAGGUGGGGCAAUAAGCAGGGCAGAAUAGUACUUCACAGCUCCAGCCACCAUUUCUAAGCAGGAAGAGGGAGCUUUUAUUAUUGUUUUACAUAAGGUAGCUGUUAAACAUGAGUUUACUGGGUAACAGUUGUCAGUAUUAACCAGUACAAUGAAAUUGAACAUUAGUCUUUUGAUUCAAAAUAUCAAGGUCAAAAAGGAAAAGCUAAUUAGAACCAAAGAUGCAGCUCACAUAGCAAUGAAGUAGUUGUCUGUUCGUGCAGCACAACACCCAUAUCUUCAAUUUAGGUCAGUCCAUCAAGAGGAGGAAAAGGACUGGAGACUGAAGAUGAGAUGCUCUACUUCACACAGUUGCCCUCUGGAAGGACUGGCAAAGGCAGUCACUUAAAUUAAGCACAGGUCAUCAGACAAGAUAUCUAUUCCUAAGACAGGCAGCUCUAGCAGUCCAAAUCCCUAUGGCCUUUACAGCGACACAAUGAACUACUUCCUCAUGUACCUCUGUCAAUCCAUGUUAGGUUCCAAUUUUUUUAAAGCAGUAUUUCAUGUACACCAUGACCCUAUUGCUCAUAGCAAGGAAAACGCUUUGGUUUAUUUAUGACCUACUAACCUUAAAUAAAAAAAAAAAAAAAACACCACAUCCAAUCUGAAUGUUCACAUAAGCCUGCAGAUCUGAAAUAAAGUUUAAAAUAAAGCUGGCAUUUGUAACAGCUAGCUAAGCCCAGUAAGGGAUUUUAAAAAGAUGAAAACCAGAUGAGAGAAGAUGAAAGCAUUUUUACCCUGCAUAACCUACACACAUCAGGAAUCAGGGCUGGAGCUCAGGAAUACUUUUUUGUGUUUUUGUACUUAUAAGUUUCAGACCAUUUCAACAGUGGCUAGGUAACCAAGGAAAUACUGAGUUUUUUCCAUUAUGAGGUGUGGGGAGGGAAUAAUAACCUGUGAAAGUAAUUCCUUCUAAGAUGCAAUCUACCCAGCCACAAGUUCUACAUAGCUCCUCUCCUUCCCCUACACUGCAUCCUAACUGCCAGGUAUCAGCCAGGCAAGACCCCAUAUUGAAAUAUGAAGUGACAGAUGGAAGCAGGGAAUAAGAGUAUAGGAAUAAGUACUGAAAGAAAUGGUGUACAGAAAGAAAGCUUAUAAUAGGGCAGAUGUUAAAUAUGAGCAACCCUAAACCAUAAAGUCUAUUCAUUUGGCCAGAACAACAUUGAACAGAUGCACAAAAGACUACUGAGUUGGAGCGCCUUAUUCUUUCAUCACUCAUGCUGGUGUAAGGAACUCCUUUCAUAGCAUCCAUGGAAUUAAACUGUAGAAAAGCCAGUACAAAUAAAUGGAGGAAAAAAAAAAAAUCAAACUUCAGAGCUAAAGUAUUAGCAGCAAAUAUCCCAUUCUGCUGUAUCGGGGGCGGGGGGGGGGGGAAGGUUGACUGCCACAUUUGGUUAGAAUCUAGAUAUAUUCAUAAUCACAGUGGCCUUCCUAAUAAACUCCAUCUAAUCUACCAUAAAGGAGAAAAUUAGUUGAUUCCAUUCUUGUCUAGUUCUCCAGUAGGCUAUAUUAAUGACCCUGUCCUUUAGAUAUAUUUGACAGAAAAUACAGAUGAGUUAAAUGACAUAAUAAAUACCUCUACAUGCAGAGCAAUUAGUUGACAGAAACAGCUAGGACGAAGUCCUUGUCACAGUGUUUGUUUACAAAAGAUACAGGCAGCACACUUAUGACCUGCAGCUUUUUGGUGCUGAUUCCCUUCACACAAGUACAAACAAGUUUAACAAAAAAACCCCAACAUUUAUAAAGAUUUUUAAAACAAGCAGAAACAGAUUAGGAAGAGUAUAAGACAUCUUUUACCAAAGGACAAGGUAAACAACAAUUCAUAGAAGCCAAUGGAUCAGUCACAAUUUCAGUGCAGCAAGCUAAGAGUGGACCUAGCAAAAGAGAAUUCAGACCAGCUGAGCUGUGAGACCACCUUCUGCAGGAGAACUCUGAUCACAAAUGCAAAUAAGAAAGAAGCUUGAAAAACUGCCAGCUCCUUGCACAAAGACUGAAAUAGGAUGGGCAGAGAACAGUGUUGGUGUCGGUAAGAGAAAAAUAACUGAAGUUGCAUCAUCUGUAUUAAAAUCAUUGUGUGAAUUUUGAUUCCCCCCCCCUCCCCUCCUUUCAGGCAUUUGAGGAUGCUGUCAAGUCAAUGGAGUUCUGUUGUAGUGGUUGCUUCAGUGAACAUUCAACGCUGUCGGUGAGUUUGGAAUUAAAGUGAAAACCAUCGACCGUUGAUUGUACCCUCCAGCUAACCAUCCUCCUCCUUACUUCAUGCUUUCAGGCCUUAACACUGAAGAUAGCAACCUAGCCACCACAUGAUGUUUCUCCCCCACCCUGCCAAGCUUUACAAAAAAGGUCACAAUCAACAUUCAUUGCUGUCGGUGGGUUUAACUAUGUGGACAAGCUCACUGAACAAUGAAUGCAACUGUGGCCCCACAUUUUACAGUUGCCGUUGAGAGGAACAUCAGCUCUGAAAGCAGUAGUGAGAAGCAAACACUUCUUACAGGCUACGUUUUUCUGGUCAAAAAAAUAGUUGGGGAUAUUCACUUUUUGCUUGCUUGUUUUUAAGUGUGUUUAACUUAGCAGACUAGGAAAAAAAUAAAUCACUGCCUUUUUCCAGAAUAUUGUCCUCCCAGGGUUCAACAUCACCAAAAUCAUGAAAAUUCUUAUUCAGUAUGUAUGUGGAAAUAAAUAACAGUACAGGGAACUUUGUGUAUAUCCACUCCUAAGGAUUCUGAACAUAAGAGGAAUGAAUAUUUAAAUCUCAUUUUAACUAGGCACUGUGGAAUAGUUAAAAAAUUUCUUCUAUAAUUGUCACUAAAAAUACAAAUGGAAGCCAGAGUUCAAAGAUACAGAUAAAAAUGUUAUAUCAAAUAAAAGAUUAAUUAGUUUUACAUGAAACUGAUUUUAAGCACCUAAAUAAAUACUAUUAGACAGCAAAUACUAUUACAUUUGCCUUUUUUAGGAAUCUGAAAGAUGACAGAAAUGUAUAUCCAGAAAUAAUAAUAGAACAGUAAAAUUGUAAAAUUACUGUAAACUUUGGGUAUCUAUGUCAUACUCUUGGUAUUGCUAAUAAGAAAAUAAAAGUGUAAAUAAAGCUCACAA